UACGGUCCUGUGUUUUUACCAACAAGAUUUGAGUUGUCUAACUCGGUUGAGGCUGUUCAUUCUAAUUUCUUUUUAAAACCCUAGAGAAAGUAGAAUGAGAGUACUGAAACUUACAGUUUGUGUUUGUCUGUUGGUCAUAGUAUUCACUGCUGUCCUGACACAGGCCCAAUGUCGAGUUAUAUGCCCCAUGAAUCUCAAACCUGUUUGCGCCAGCAACGGUCGGACAUUCAUUAAUGAAUGUGAAAUCCGCGCAUUCUCGUGUCGAAAUCAACUGACCCUUAAACACGAAGGUGCUUGCAAAAAAACUUCAUAGGAAGGAACACUACUAACUUUUAUUCAAAUAAAUGUCGACCUAUUUUUUGAAAAACAUAUUAGCUUUAUAAGUUCUUAGUUGUAUCCACCUA